rfam:TPA: Bos taurus chromosome 14, whole genome shotgun sequence.
UCCCUGGUGGCUCAGAUGGUAAAGCAUCUGCUUGCAAUGCAGGAAACCCGGGUUCAACCCCUGAGUUGGGAA